rnacentral:tRNA from 1 species
GCCUUCGUGGUGUAGUGGUCAGCACACUCGGCGCGUAUUCGAGAGGUCCUUGGUUCGAGUCCCGGCGAGGGCA